rnacentral:rRNA from 1 species
UGGGGAAUAUUGCACAAUGGGCGCAAGCCUGAUGCAGCCAUGCCGCGUGUAUGAAGAAGGCCUUCGGGUUGUAAAGUACUUUCAGCGGGGAGGAAGGGAGUAAAGUUAAUACCUUUGCUCAUUGACGUUACCCGCAGAAGAAGCACCGGCUAACUCCGUGCCAGCAGCCGCGGUAAUACGGAGGGUGCAAGCGUUAAUCGGAAUCACUGGGCGUAAAGCGCACGCAGGCGGUUUGUUAAGUCAGAUGUGAAAUCCCCGGGCUCAACCUGGGAACUGCAUCUGAUACUGGCGAGCUUGAGUCUCGUAGAGGGGGGUAGAAUUCCAGGUGUAGCGGUGAAAUGCGUAGAGAUCUGGAGGAAUACCGGUGGCGAAGGCGGCCCCCUGGACAAAGACUGACGCUCAGGUGCGAAAGCGUGGGGAGCAAACAGG